rnacentral:tRNA from 1 species
GUUUUAAUAGUUUAACAAAAAACGUUGGUCUUGUAAACCAAAAUUAAGGAAUACUUUUAAAACU